GUCAUCACUGGUAGCUAGAAAAAGGCAUCAUUAAAAGAUUUGCUUGUAGAGCUUCUCAUCAUUAGUAAUUUGUUUAUCUGGUGUGCUGGUCUCCUGGAGCUGCUGUUUCAGACUCUGCAGACUUUAGUGGAUGCCUGACGUAAGCACACGGACCCUGAGCUCAUCCGCUCCUCCUGACUCUCGAAGCUAAAACAAGCAAAAGUCGACCUCCAGCUUUUAUCACAGUCUUCACUAGUCUCCAGCUAAAAUUUAUAACAUACUUUAUGUGUUAUAAAGUGUUUUCAGUCCUAAGGUAGGUGGAGUGGAAAAGAUGACUGCAGUGAAAAGGUCGGGUCAACUGCGAGUGACACACAUUGCCCUCAUGAAGGUUAGUAGAAAUGAGGAAUAUUUUCUGAAUAAAUUGAGAGGAAAGAACCCACAAAAAGGAAAAUGGCUUUGUUAAACAAGGGGAAUGAAAAAAUGGUGGUGACGGUAGAAUGGCAAAAGUACAGAAUGACUUUUUUUAUUAAAGGCGUCUGAACUGAAAAUGAAAGAAAAAACUGGCUUAUUGACAAAAAGAGGGAAAAGGCUAAAGGAACAUAGGCUGAAGAAGGAAUCCAGUUUAUGCACAGCUUUGAGGAUGAGGAAUGAGCUAAUGAACCAUUCAUCGUUACAUGUAAAAUGCUGUGUGACACACCAGGGAACUGCUGUUCGUCACAAAAGAGAAAUUAUGGUACAUCUUUCAGGCUCUAAAGGUCCUGCCGGAGCCCAUUAGCUCUGUGCCAGGCUCCCUCGUGAGAGGCAGUAGGCAAACCUAUUUAAAAUCUUUUUUUUUUUUUUUCCUGUGAGAAAUUGGCCCCCUGGGACAAGGAAUUCCUGUUCCUCCUGGGCACCCUGGAGAUUUGCGAGGAAGUGUUGCGUGGCAGUGCCCUUGUGUACUUAUUUCCGGUCAUGCUUUCUUGACACAGAAGGUAGUGGGGACACUUCUGAGUCCCUCCAAAAUCUGUGUUCCUGGGGGAUAUCUGAAUGGGGUUAAAUAAAUCCAAUGCUAUGAAAAAUAGAUUCUGUAGCUCAGUUUUCUUCCUCAGCAAAAUAAUGCAACCAUUCUGAGGAGUUUUCUAUACUUUAACUUCUGUUUUUCUUAACUUCAAGAAGCUCAAAGGCCUUUCCAGAACACCGUAGCCCAUUGUUUGAAACUACUGUAUCGCGAUAAUGCACAUAAAUUAGAGAUAAGUGAUAAAGAUGGAAAGGAUGGGCUUGGGAUUGGACAAGUAUAGGUUUGAGACCAGUCUCUGUCACUUGCAGGGGCCAGUAUCUAUUUCUAAUACAACCCGUAGACCUGAGCAUCCAGGUCUUAUCCCGGCACAUUGCCCCUCCCCACCUUAGAGGGCCUUGCUCUGCCCUUUCUCUGACCUCAUCACCAUGUGACUGGGAGUCCGUGGGUCCAACAGGAUAUGGUCACUCUCCCUGAACCGGUGCCUCCUCAUAUUCUGGGUAGCUGGACCCCAGAAUUCUGGACUCAAACAGUAGGGCCUGCCUUCAUGCAAUUGUAGGACUCUUUCUCAGGUCUUUCGUCUUAGGGUUGACAAUGGGGCUAUAAUGCUGCUAUCAAGGGAAGGCAUCGGCAGAGGUGGGUGGAAAUAGAUGGAGCUAGGACAUGGUGGGGGGCUUCAGUGUCCAUAUGUAUGUGUGAGAUGCCCUUGGCAUAGAGAGAGUUGGGUGUGGGAAAGAAAGAUCCCUUCAUUUAUACUCCAGACCCCACCUACAGUUAUUAGAAGUGGGCCUGUCCAUAUAAUAAAGUUAUCAUGAUGUUUAAAUGAGCUAAUUCAUGUAAAGUACUCAGCACAGAUUUGUAGA